CCCAGUGUUGGGUUCCAGUUGAAACUUGGCGUUAGAUUGGCCUAAAGGGGACCCAGGACCUCCAGGUAAGCCCCCAGAGACUCUCCUUGAAAGCAAAAAUAAACUUCCAAAAAGAAUAAGAGGGAAUGCCAAGUUUCCAAUCAAAUUAAACAGAGCAUUUCCUGUGUCUUCAUUAGCAUUAUGUGCAGCAAAAUCAAUGUUCCGCUCUCUCAACUUCUGAAGAAGUUCCUGACUAAGACCUGGGAGUUGUACACGCAGUCUCUGUUCUCGAUUAUCAGGUGAAAGUGUUUCCACAAUAGCAAUGGUUCCGUUCUCAUAUACAUCCACUUUUUUCACUCUGCCUUUGUCCAGGUACUCCAGAAAUCUUGAAUAAGAUAACCUUGAAGAAGAAGCUUCUUGGUCAUCUGCAUAUGCAGUUUUUGCACCCAUCAAUGCCGGCAAGAGAAAUCCAGCAUUCC
rnacentral:lncRNA from 1 species